rnacentral:rRNA from 1 species
AUUGAACGCUGGCGGCAUGCCAUACACAUGCAAGUCGAACGGCAGCACGGGAGCAAUCCUGGUGGCGAGUGGCGAACGGGUGAGUAAAGUAUCGGAACGUGCCCAGUCGUGGGGGAUAACGUAGCGAAAGUUACGCUAAUACCGCAUACGAUCUAUGGAUGAAAGCGGGGGAUCGCAAGACCUCGCCCGAUUGGAGCGGCCGAUAUCAGAUUAGGUCGUUGGUGGGGUAAAGGCUCACCAAGCCGACGAUCUGUAGCUGGUCUGAGAGGACGACCAGCCACACUGGGACUGAGACACGGCCCAGACUCCUACGGGAGGCAGCAGUGGGGAAUUUUGGACAAUGGGCGAAAGCCUGAUCCAGCCAUGCCGCGUGCAGGAUGAAGGCCUUCGGGUUGUAAACUGCUUUUGUACGGAACGAAAAGGUUUGGCCUAAUAAGCUGAGCUCAUGACGGUACCGUAAGAAUAAACACCGGCUAACUACGUGCCAGCCGCCGCGGUAA